rnacentral:rRNA from 1 species
GCGUAAAGCGCAAGCAGGCGGUCUGUCAAGUCGGAUGUGAAAUCCCCGGGCUCAACCUGUGAACUGCAUUCGAAACUGGCAGGCUAGUGUCUUGUAGAGGGUGGUAGAAUUCCAUGUUUAGCGGUGAUAUGCGUAGAGAUCUGGACGAAUACCGGUGGCGACGGCGGCCCCCUGGACAAAGACUGACGCUCAGGUGCGAUAGCGUGGGGAGCUAACAGGAUUAGAUUCCCUGGUAGUCCACGCCUUAAACGAUGUCGAU